AUGGAUAUGAUCCUCAAUAAACCAGGCCUCUUCAGAUGGUUCAUCUCCUUGCUGUGGACUGCAGGUCUGACAGGCGGCAGCGACGUCGUCCAGACCUCGAUGCUCUGGGAAGUCGAGGGUGUCGAUGCAACGAUGGACUGCAGCCACACCAAGGGGGCUGAGUUCUUCCAGAUGUACUGGUACCGACAGCUGCCGGGAGAAACCAUGAAGCAGAUUGUGUACACGUCCACCUCCAGCACGGUUCACGAUUUUGGAGAUUUCAGCAAAGACAAAUUUUCCGCCACCAAGCCGAAUGUCACCAGCGGGACGCUGACGGUGAAGAAGCUGCAGCCGGGAGACAAAGGCUGGUACUUCUGUGCUGUGAGUGAACACAGUGACGCAGGGAACCUCAACGGCUGA